UGCCCUAAUUAUAGACACCUCGCUUUGCCGCCGGCUGUAAUUGUGGCUUCCUUCGCUGCGACUCUCUGAGGCAUCUCCACGCGAGCCCCCUUCGCUCUUCGGGUUUUUCCAUCGUAGCAGUGGCGGAGUGGCCUGCCCACUACGCUGCUCACUCCAUCCACCAAACAACCGGUGGUUGAGCCAGCCAGUCUGCGCCCGUACGUAGAUAGAUAUUGUACACCGGUUGAAGACGACGAGGAAUCGGACGUGAUGGAGGCGGCGGAGGAGGAAUUGCAGUUCCAGGAUCAUGUCAGCCGCCUACCUUUCGCCCGCGGUGGCCCCAUCUUUGUUCCUGGUGUUGUUGGCCAGCUAAUGUCGGUCUCUGCUUUCAAGGCCGACGUCCUCAAUGAACUCCAGAGCUUGCAGUCUGAGUUGGUUAACACGGGCGAAUGCAAUUUUGAGGAUGAGCUCUCGGUUGAUGAGCUGAAGGUUCUUACGGAGGAAGAAUUGGUCGAGAAUGCUCUUAAGGAUGAUGUGAAGGAUGUUGCUUGCCUUGACGAUUCACAACUGUACCUAGAGUGCUCAGAUGAUAUGUAAGUUUAGGUUAAAGUCAUUUUUUUUUACCACAAAACGAAGCAUGCUAUUUUGGUCCAUGUGCAAUUAAAUCAAUAAGAUAUAUAAUCCACAAGCUGCACUAUCAUUCUUCUGCAAUCCUGGAGCCUCCGGAACCCAUUCAAUUCUGCAAUUACAUUUGGGACUUUAGUCCAAAUGAUACCCCUUCAUUAGGCUUGAUUAUUUGAUAAAAUGAAAGAAAAACCAGGUAGAGAGAUAUAGAAUUAAGAGAAAAGAAAUGAAAGGGAAAGGAGAGAUACAGUGAAGAGGACAAGUUCCCUUUUUAAGAAGUAGCACUUAAAUUCUACUUAGCCCUCUCUCAUCCACAACUGAGGAGAUUUGAAAAUUAUACAUAUAAGAUCUGGUUGUCUAAAAAAAGCAAUGCAUCAUCUAGCUGUUAUGAGUUUUCCCACCUUUUUCUUCUUCUUCUUUUUUUAAUAGAUGAAAUAUUCAAGAUCCUACUUGGAUUGCAUCAGUUCCGUUUCAUUCCUAGCCAGUAAGGUUGGGCUUCAGUUUUUGCCCAGAAUAUCUAAUUUGUUUGACUGGCCUAUGUAUUGAAGUUUGAACAAAAUGGCUAGGUGUACCUAGAAUGUUUUUAUUUUCUUUUUCGUUUUUUAAAUAGAGCCUAACUUUCCUAUCCAAACUAGUGGACACUCAAUCCACUCCAUUCUCAAAUUUCUUCAAAUAAGAGUGAGAAGUGAGAACCAUUUGGUCCAUUUCUCUUCACCUCGCUCUUUGAUUGUCAUCUGAUGGAUCCUUGGUGCUGAUUGAUCUUCAACUAGUGUGUUUUUUUCCCUUGAAUUUGUUUCAUAUCUGAAUGGGAUAACUUUGUUGCAUCAAUGUUAACUUAUUCACUCUAUAGGAGCUUUGUUGACUCUUUGAAAAUGUGAACUCAAUUUUCCUCUGUUUUAAUUAUGUUUCAUAUACUGUUAUUUACUUGAGUUAUGCUUGUGUUGUAGAGUGGUAGAUCAUUGUAUCUCAGAGAAGGAAAAUGUUUGUUUGACAAACUCUAUAUCUGAAUGCAUAAAUUUGGAUCACUCUAUAAUAUCAAAUGAUUCUCAGACUUUGGCACAUGAAUCCAAUGAUUUGGGUAAAAAGGUUAAAAAGAAGAAAGGAACAAAAAGAGGAAGGCGCUUUGAUAGAGAUUCUCGAGCUACUGAUCUAGAGGGGAUUUUUUUUACAAAAGUGGAUGAACUUGCAAAGAUAAAGCAAAGGCAGGAUGAGGAUAAACUAGCAGCCAGAUUGCACUCAUUUAGGUAAGCUUGCCACCUUUUUAGCACCUUGAUCUUUAAUGGAUGAAUAACUACCUUUGUUUAGUUAAGCACAUCUCUUUUAUUACCAUCCUGCCUUUUCAUGAAUGCUUUUGUGUUGAGAAAGUAUAUGAAUUAUGAAGAUGAACAGUGAUUUUUAUGCUCCCAUAGAAGAAAUGCACUUGCAACUUGGAAGGAUUUCAGGGUGUUUCAACAUAAAAAAAUUAAAUCUUCUGUAACAUCUGAAAGGAAUGCCAAUAGGAAACAACUGGUAGUAUUGUAAUAAUUGUUUGGAAAAAGUCAGCCUUAUAUUUAAGUAACUCAAAAUAAGCCAUCAGCUAUUUAAUUUCAUAUGAACUUUAUUCAAAAUUCCAUGAUAUUGUUCCUCCACAGACAUCCAUUUUAAUACCAUAUUUCAUGUUUAAGGAGAAUGAAGCUAAAAUUGUCCGCUUUAUGUGGAAUGGAUGCUCUCAGAGGAUUGCCAGUGAGUUGUGCACUUGAUGGUAGCUCUAGUGGUUGACAGUAGGGUAGGAUAGAUUAGUGGCAACUCAAAGUUUCCUGAAGGAAUAGUUUCAUCCUCACAGAAACUUAAGAAGAUGAAGUCCUUGAGGUUCAUAACCCGCCCUGUCAAGGUAAAAUCUGUCAAAUCACAAGAAUAUGUUCCAGUGCAGUUUCCUGAGAUGGUUCUUUGCCUGGAAAUAUAUGACAAUCAAUAUAAAUGGAGAAAGAACCAAGAAUUUUUAGCUUUGGGGAGCCAAACCCUUUCGGAAUUGAAGAAUCACAUAUAUUGUUUGACCAAUAAAUUGAUGGAUACAGCAGGGGUGCAUGAUAAUUCUGGAUAUUUCCUUAUUGAAGAUACCUUUUGCAAUGAUUUGACGGAUCCUUCUUCUAUUGACUAUAGCAAACCUAUAUUUGAUUGGCUUAAGAAUAACAAUGACGAGGCAGUUAAAAAAUGGGAUUACAUCUUGUCUGGUGGGCUGAAGAAAGAACAAAAGAAGCUUUUAGGGGACAUGAAAGUCUCAAGCUUACCUAAUUUCAGAUCUGUGGAUAUGCAUAAGACUAGAUUUUCUGAUCUCGGAGGAUUCAGAUUGGGUUCUAGUUAUCUCUAUUGCCACCAGGGCAACUGCAAGCACAGCAUAGUGAUCAGAGACAUGAGACUGAUCCAUCCCGAAGAUGUUCAGAAUCGGGCCGAGUACCCACUCCUUACUUCUACACUACGACCACGCUACAGGAAGUGCUCAGUCUGUGAAAUAUAUAUUGCAACAAAGAUGACAGUCGACGAUAAGUGGGCUCCAAAGAACCCUUGUUAUUUCUGCAUCAAAUGCUAUUUUCUACUUCAUUACAAGGAGGACAACUCCUUGUUAUACCCUCACACUGUAUUUGAUUAUUUUCACGAAUAAUCAUAUGCUUAAUGGUUCAUUCCCUCGCCCUUUUCAAUUUUAUUUGGUUUGAAAUUUUGAAAGGGGCUCAAAGACAUGCUUUCAUC